rnacentral:rRNA from 1 species
GACGAACGCUGGCGGCGUGCUUAACACAUGCAAGUCGAACGGAAAGGCCCUGCUUUUGUGGGGUGCUCGAGUGGCGAACGGGUGAGUAACACGUGAGUAACCUGCCCUUGACUUUGGGAUAACUUCAGGAAACUGGGGCUAAUACCGGAUAGGAGCUCCUGCUGCGUGGUGGGGGUUGGAAAGUUUCGGCGGUUGGGGAUGGACUCGCGGCUUAUCAGCUUGUUGGUGGGGUAGUGGCUUACCAAGGCUUUGACGGGUAGCCGGCCUGAGAGGGUGACCGGCCACAUUGGGACUGAGAUACGGCCCAGACUCCUACGGGAGGCAGCAGUGGGGAAUAUUGCACAAUGGGCGGAAGCCUGAUGCAGCAACGCCGCGUGCGGGAUGACGGCCUUCGGGUUGUAAACCGCUUUCGCCUGUGACGAAGCGUGAAUGACGGUAAUGGGUAAAGAAGCACCGGCUAACUACGUG